AUUGGAGUUAAAAGUGAAACACUGCAGCUUGACGAGGGUGGACAGAAAGGCUCCGAUUAUGAAGUAAAAGUAUUAAAAAACAUAGAGCGUAGAGAAAAACAUCAUUCGGCACAUCUCAGUGUAAUGUAAUCUACAAAUUGCACCAAACAGGUGUGAGUACAUGCAAUGCCCCUUUAAUAGAUGCAUCAUUCACAACAUGUUAACAGUGGAUAUGGUAUCCUGUAGCUGUCUGCAGCCUUGCUGACUUAUCAUGCCCAAUAUUUUAUUUGCUAGCAUUUGACCACAUACUAUAUUGUGCACGGAAUAUAACCAUGCCUGGUAGCGAUUUAUUUAAUAAUGUGCUUUCAGUGCUUUUUCUAAUAAGAGGAGAUGAACUCAU